UCUUUUCUUUUGAUAGGAGAGUUUUUAAAACCAGUGUUAUUUUUGUAAGUUUAAGAGAAGUUUGUGUAUUGAAUUUUUAAUAUUAAAGAGCUUUGUUAAACUUAGACUUAAGUUUAGGUCAUUUUGGGGGUUUAGCUCAGUUGGCUAGAGCAUCGGCUUUGCAAGCCGAGGGUCAAGGGUUCGAGUCCCUUAACCUCCAUUGGGCUUAUGUCCUAAAUUGUAAUUAAGUAUGUUUUUAAGCAACUUUAUUAAAGUAAUUGUUGGAAUGUGAAACAGAGGAAGUUAAAAUUUCUGGGUUAAGUUGAGAUCUGUUGAUAUUAAGAAGAAUCUCUAGAAGCAAAAGCAAGCUUUCGAUAACACCCGAAGUUGUUUCGCUAAAGUGCAAGGAUUAAACAGGAUUGUAUUUUCCAGUAGCCUAUUUUAUAAACGAUCUGCAUUUAGUAAAUAGUUUUUAGUUAGGAAAUAAUGUAUAUUGCUAAGUGUGAUGUC
rnacentral:misc_RNA from 1 species